GCCCCACCUGACCCCAUGCCGAACUCAGAAGUGAAACGCCGUAGCGCCGAUGGUAGUGUGGGGUCUCCCCAUGCGAGAGUAGGGAACUGCCAGGC
rnacentral:rRNA from 2 species